UACGUAGGGUGCAAGCGUUAAUCGGAAUUACUGGGCGUAAAGCGUGCGCAGGCGGUGAUGUAAGACAGUUGUGAAAUCCCCGGGCUCAACCUGGGAACUGCAUCUGUGACUGCAUCGCUGGAGUACGGUAGAGGGGGAUGGAAUUCCGCGUGUAGCAGUGAAAUGCGCAGAUAUGCGGAGGAACACCGAUGGCGAAGGCAAUCCCCUGGGCCUGCACUGACGCUCAUGCACGAAAGCGUGGGGAGCAAACAGG
rnacentral:rRNA from 1 species